rnacentral:rRNA from 1 species
UACGUAGGGGGCAAGCGUUAUCCGGAAUUAUUGGGCGUAAAGAGUACGUAGGUGGCAGCGUAAGCGCAAGGUGAAAGCCCGGGGCUUAACUCCGGCGAGCCUUGUGAACUGCGCAGCUUGAGUGCAGGAGGGGGAAGUGGAAUUCCUAGUGUAGCGGUGAAAUGCGUAGAUAUUAGGAGGAACACCGGUGGCGAAGGCGACUUUCUGGACUGUAACUGACACUGAGGUACGAAAGCGUGGGGAGC